GCGCUGUUGAAGAGUCCCACAAUAGAACGAAACGACUGUCCAGUGC
rnacentral:hammerhead_ribozyme from 1 species